CUGGCCGACCAAUGAUCCCGUUGUAUGGCAACGGGGUGUGAGCCACAUCAAAAACGAUGUGCUCAUUCUGGAACGCUUCCCAGGAACCGAAGGUCAACCGGACCGUGAUUCGCCCCAUGGGCUGCACCACGCCGGGGUUGAUCCCCCGAAACGGGUCGGUGGGCUUCAUCUGCUCCAGGGGCAGCUGAACCUUCUCCAUCAGCUUGGCGGACAGCCGCUUGAGGCUUGCCCCGCUGUCCACCAGUACCUUGGUCACCGUCACAUUGUUUAUGUGUAACAUCCCAAAAUUUCAAACUUUUACAUGUGCAUUGCAUCCAUGAGCAUCGUGCCACAAUUGCAUUUUUGAAUUCAAAAUUGAAUCUCAAAAGGGCUUUAAAAGACUUUGUUUACACCCAUUUAAGCUUUGGAUUUUCAAACCAAUAGGGUUUAUGUAUAAAAGGGGUUUAAUGCAUAUAAAAGCUAUCCCAUAAUUUUUGGAUAAUUGUUUGGAGUUGGAAAAGUAUUUUAUUUAAAUAGAUAUAUGGCUCUAAAGGCAUUUAUAGGGCAAAUGUAUUUUUAUAUAUUUUAUUUUGAGGGGAAACUACUCCCAAAAGUUGUAUCAUGGUGGAACAUGAUUUUAAAGAUUUUCUGGAAUUUGUUUGGACCAAUUUGGAGUUCAAAAUCAAAAGAUAUCAAAGAAAUAAGAAAAAACAGAAAAAAGAAAAGGGCUAAAGGAAAAAAAAAAGAGAAAACCGGACCGGCCCGGCCAAAUGGACCGAACCGGCCCCGUCCGACCGCGCCCGACCGGCCCAGCC
rnacentral:lncRNA from 1 species